rnacentral:rRNA from 1 species
UACGAAGGGAGCUAGCGUUGUUCGGAAUUACUGGGCGUAAAGGGCGCGUAGGCGGGUUUCCAAGUCGGGGGUGAAAUUCCAGGGCUCAACCCUGGGACGGCCUUCGAUACUGGGAGCCUGGAGAUCGGGAGAGGUGAGUGGAAUUCCGAGUGUAGAGGUGAAAUGCGCAGAUAUCAGGAAGAACACCCGUGGCGAAGGCGGCUCUCUGGGACGGUACUGACGCUGAGACGCGAAAGCGUGGGGAGCGAACAGG